GCUCCAGUGGCGCAAUCGGUCAGCGCGCGGUACUUAUAAUGCCGAGGUUGUGAGUUCGAGUCUCACCUGGAGCA
rnacentral:tRNA from 1 species